rnacentral:rRNA from 1 species
UGGCUCAGGACGAACGCUGGCGGCGUGCUUAACACAUGCAAGUCGAACGGGGAUUAUCGAGCGGAAGGCUUCGGCCGGAAGGUUGGUAAUUCGAGUGGCGGACGGGUGAGUAACGCGUGAGCAACCUGUCCCAGACAGGGGGAUAACACUUGGAAACAGGUGCUAAUACCGCAUAAGACCACGGGAUCGCAUGGUUCUGGGGGUAAAAGGUGCAAACCGGUUUGGGGUGGGCUCGCGUCCGAUUAGCCAGUUGGCGGGGUAACGGCCCACCAAAGCGACGAUCGGUAGCCGACCUGAGAGGGUGAUCGGCCACAUUGGAACUGAGAGACGGUCCAAACUCCUACGGGAGGCAGCAGUGGGGAAUAUUGGGCAAUGGGCGAAAGCCUGAACCCCAGCAACGCCGCGUGAGUGAAGAAGGCCUUCGGGUUGUAAAGCUCUGUUAUAGUUGACGAAGGAAGUGACGGUAGGCUAUAAGGAAGCCCCGGCUAACUACGUGCCAGCAGCAGC